UCUAAGUGUGCUUGCAAACCUUUACGUCAAGUUUGAGAUUCUAGGUCCAAGCAUACCAAAGUUAUAACAAUUUUAACAUUUUAACAUUGAAGGUCACAGUGACCUUGACCUUCAAAUGAAUGACAUUGAAAUGACCAGUGGUCAUCUUCUAGUACUGGCCAAUCUUUAUUUCAAGUUUGAAGACUCUAGGUACAAGCAUACUAAAGUUAUAACAUGAAAUAAGAACUUUAACAUUUUUACAUUCAAGGUCACAGUGACCUUGACCUUCAAAUGAAUGACCUUGAAAUGUCCAGUGGUUACUUACUAGUUCUGGCCAACCUUCAUGUCAAGUUUCAAGACUCUAGGUCCAAGCAUACCAAAGUUAUAACAACUUUAACAUUUUUAUAUUGAAGGUCACAGUGACCUUCACCUUCAAAUGAAUGACCUUGAAAUGACCAGUGGUCAUCUGUUAAUCCUGGCCAACCUUCAUGUCAAGUUUGAAGACUCUAGGUCCAAGCAUACCAAAGUUAUACCAUGAAAUAAGAACUUUAACAUUUUUACAUUCAAGGUCACAGUGACCUUGACCUUCAAAUGAAUUACCUUGAAAUGACCAGUGGUUACUAACUAGUUAUGGCCAACCUUCAUGUCAAGUUUCAAGACUCUAGGUCCAAGCAUACCAAAGUUAUAAGAACUUUAACAUUUUUUAUAUUGAAGGUCACAGUGACCUUGACCUUCAAAUGAAUGACCUUGAAAUGACCAGUGGUCAUCUGUUAAUCCUGGCCAACCUUCAUGUCAAGUUUGAAGACUCUAGGUCCAAGCAUACCAAAGUUAUACCAUGAAAUAAGAACUUUAACAUUUUCGAGCACGCCGCCACCCCGCCCGCCCGACAACAUCAAUCUAUAAGCCGAGA